CUUAAAGAUGGCAUGAACCAACAGAAAUUACCUAGAAUAUUCUCUAGGCUUUAUACCAAACACUCAGAAUCUUAAGCACUGUAAAAGACUUCAGAGUUGAUCAAAUAUAAUUAUUCAUUUCCCUAUAAAGAAACUGAGAACUAGAAUUACACGCCUUAGCUCAAGUCACCAAGCUAAUUCAUAGAACAGCUUAUACACCAUUAAAGAAAGGGUCUGUAUAAAAUUCUACACCUUUUUUUUUCUUAUGGACAAACUACCAUCCACUCACUAUAUCAAUGUCAGGAAUCCACUUUUCUAAGUUCUCGAUGUCUUCAAUUCUUGCUAGUUUAUGCAACAAGCCUUCUGAUCAAGUCAGUACAAUGUGGUCAACACUUAGUGCAUGUGCUCAGUGCCCUGUCAGCUUCUGGGGUGACCAAGAUGACUCAGACCAGGGAGGGGCUCACGGCUGACGGGAAAUGACUGGCAUGUGGCAGAUGUGAUAAGGGCUCGAAUAAACACUGGCAUGUGCACGCUAACCUGUCACAGGCCAGGAGGCAAAUGAUUCAGCCCGAGUGAAGAAGGGUACAUCACCCCUUCUCCCCGCCACCCAGGCUCUCAGGUGCUCCGGGCAAGAGGAGGCAGAGAAGGAACCCCACAGCCUAGGACUUGGAACACUUCCCUUAUAAGAAAUGGCUCUCAGCGAAUGGAAACAAACAGCUACACUUGGAACAUUAUUUCCUCCUCCGAAGAACAAAGCUCCAAGAAGCUACAAGUCUUAGAAGAGAAGGUUAUCGAGACUGACACAGCUUUGGAUGAUGGAGGCGCGAGCCCCCUUAAAAAACCCGAAUGAAACAGUCACCGUCAUGGGAAGGCCCAUGCAGGCCUGCCCAGGCUCUAGCAGUCAGAUGCUAAGUUCCAAGAAGGGCAUUUUCUAAUCAAGCUGCAAAAGCGGAAGCAGGUACUUUCCAACUCAGAACUCUCUUCCUCACACGGCGCCAUAGGCAGUGUACAAAGUUAAUCGACUGCUUUCCUAGGUAACCUUCAAACCUGGAACUAGCUAUUGCCAAUACCGGAUGUUAGGACUGAGUGCCUGAUAACUUUUCUCCAUUGCUGUUAUACAGGUUUUGCAAAGUUUUUAAUGGGAAUGCCACCUCAGACCCUCAUAAAUUUGCUAGCUAUAUGAGCUUUCUCUCACAAGGGUCGUCAUAAAAAUUCUUGUGGGGACGAAGUAGGUUCUAAAUCGUUUUAGGGAACGUUUCUUUUUUA